rnacentral:rRNA from 1 species
GUGGGGAAUUUUGGACAAUGGGCGCAAGCCUGAUCCAGCAAUGCCGCGUGCAGGAAGAAGGCCUUCGGGUUGUAAACUGCUUUUGUACGGAACGAAAAGGCUCUGGUUAAUACCUGGGGCUCAUGACGGUACCGUAAGAAUAAGCACCGGCUAACUACGUGCCAGCAGCCGCGGUAAUACGUAGGGUGCAAGCGUUAAUCGGAAUUACUGGGCGUAAAGCGUGCGCAGGCGGUUUUGUAAGACAGGCGUGAAAUCCCCGGGCUCAACCUGGGAAUGGCGCUUGUGACUGCAAGGCUGGAGUGCGGCAGAGGGGGAUGGAAUUCCGCGUGUAGCAGUGAAAUGCGUAGAUAUGCGGAGGAACACCGAUGGCGAAGGCAAUCCCCUGGGCCUGCACUGACGCUCAUGCACGAAAGCGUGGGGAGCAAACAGGAUUGGAAACCCUUGUAGUCC